AAGGUACUCCCUCCGUCCGAAAAUACUCGUCAUCAAAAUAGAUAAAAAGAGAUGUAUCUAAAACUAAAACACGUCUAGAUCCAUCCCUUUUUAUCCAUUUUGAUGACGAGUAUUUCCGGACGGAGGGAGUAGUAG
rfam:Triticum aestivum genome assembly, contig: Triticum_aestivum_CS42_TGACv1_scaffold_515053_6BS